AGAGUUUGAUCAUGGCUCAGGAUGAACGCUAGCUACAGGCUUAACACAUGCAAGUCGAUGGGAAACGACAUCGAAAGCUUGCUUUUGAUGGGCGUCGACCGGCGCACGGGUGAGUAACGCGUAUCCAACCUGCCCAUCACUUGGGGAUAACCUUGCGAAAGUAAGACUAAUACCCAAUGAUAUCUCUAGAAGACAUCUGAAAGAGAUUAAAGAUUUAUCGGUGAUGGAUGGGGAUGCGUCUGAUUAGCUUGUUGGGCGGGUAACGGCCACAAGGCUACGAUCAGUAGGGGUUCUGAGAGGAAGGUCCCCCACAUUGGAACUGAGGCACGGUCCAAACUCCUACGGGAGGCA
rnacentral:rRNA from 1 species